GGUCGGUGAUGUACUGGCAUGUAUUAGCUGACUGCACAGUUGAUGUGAGCUCUAAUGUGACACUGAGACCUU
ensembl:snoRNA